rnacentral:lncRNA from 10 species
GAGGAUGGCUGACUGCAGACGUGGGUGGCAUGUCUGUCCUUAGGAAGGCUGUUCCUUAGUUGGAGGUCACAGCCAGGGACCACAACUGAAAGCCUCAGCUCUGAAGGGCAGAGAAGAAGGCCCCCAACAGGGCUUCUGAGCCCAGGUGCCAGAUCCAGAGUCAGGGCAACCUGAGGCUUUCUCGGCAGGUACCUCUCCAGUUCUCAUGGUUUUCAGAGCCAGUGGCCUGUACAAUGGAGAUUUCCUCCUUUGCUUUGUGUUCUUCUUGCAUUUUUAAACAGCAGUUUCUCAGAACAGAUGCUCUCUUCUCUCCUUCCCUAUGCCCCUUCUGCACAAACAGCAGAUUGCCUGCUUCUGUCAUCUUUAUAGAGGGAAGGAGAGAAACAUGCUAAUCAUGUUCUUUUUCCGCUUCCUCCUGCUUGCAAUUAGCUAUGCGAGCCAAGGGCUCUCUCUCCUCUCUUACUCUCUUCCCUGAGGAACAAACCCUCCAAGGAGAUUUUCCUGGGCACUUCCCACUAAGCCUGCUUCCCUUAACAGACACCUUGGGUUUUGGCUGUUGUUGUUUUGGAUAUUUACGUCCUUUGACCUCCUAAGAGCCAGAUGUCAUGCAGUCACAUAACUUCUUGAUUUCUAGUUCCCCUGUAUAUUAAAGACCCAAGAGCAUAUUGAAAUGUAUGGAAGCCACCAGCAUCAAAAUUAUUCUCAUGCCUCCUUCUCCCAGGGCUGCUGCAUCACACAACCACAGGGGCAUUAGUCACAUAGGGCUGUGUGUCUAUCCGAUAGUCAUGCAACACUGUGCACAGAUGUCAUGUAAAACAAGCACAACCCCAAGCCAUAAAAUAAGUUUGUUUUAUGACAAAGCACAAGUCAUAAAACUUGUGAUGAAAUGCAACAAAAUUCUGUGGCAUUUUUUUCUCAUGACUGUGUUAAUGCUAGUUUUGAAAUAUCAAACAUAAGUUCCCCUCCAACGCUUUUUCGUUUGGUGCAAUAAACUCCUGAGUAGCCCACCCAUCCAAGUAAUCCAGCACUGAGCAAACC